GGACUACAAGGGUUUCUAAUCCUGUUUGCUCCCCACGCUUUCGUGCAUGAGCGUCAGUGUUAGCCCAGGGGGCUGCCUUCGCCAUCGGUAUUCCUCCACAUCUCUACGCAUUUCACUGCUACACGUGGAAUUCUACCCCCCUCUGCUACACUCUAGUCUGGCAGUCACAAACGCAGUUCCCAGGUUAAGCCCGGGGAUUUCACGUCUGUCUUACUAAACCGCCUGCGCACGCUUUACGCCCAGUAAUUCCGAUUAACGCUUGCACCCUACGUAUUACCGCGGCUGCUGGCAC
rnacentral:rRNA from 1 species